CAAAGCACAUUGGAAAGCCUCGUGUUGAUCUGUGGGGGCAAUCAAUAUUCCCUAUAAGUUGCCGGGACGUUACAAAUGGUAUCAGAGACUAGCCUCUCCCAGUACGGUGUGGUUCGAGGACAAACCAAGCGGAAGCUGGUGGGCAUGUGAAACCCGAGCACUAAUAAGGGCGGGGAGUGAUCGUUGGUGCAAGAGGCACGGACAAGGAGUGGCUCCUGGAAGGCUUCUAGUGGAAGGGGAACAUGGAAGAAUCGAACAUACAUCGGAAUGAGAGGGAUAUAGAGACUGUAUAGGUAUGGGACUAUACGGUUGAAGGAUAGCUUAAAGGAAUUAAUUUGGCUACUCAUAUCAACAAAUGCAUUUGCUUUUCGGUAGCCUAACCCAUAAGAACUUCAUGGUUAAGCGUGCUUAGCCUGGAGUAAUUUAGGGAUG
rnacentral:lncRNA from 1 species